GCCCUCGUGGAUGAAUUUGUACAUCACCCAUUCAGUAUACGGUGUUGUUGAAUUCUGCGAAUUUCGAUGGGAAGUGGGGGUUCAAGUCCCUCUGAGGGCA